GAUGAACGCUGGCGGCGUGCCUAAUACAUGCAAGUCGAGCGAGAAAUUAAUGACAGAUUCCUUCGGGAUGAAUACAUUGAUGGAAAGCGGCGGACGGGUGAGUAACGCGUGGGCAACCUACCUUUUACAGGGGGACAACAUUCUGAAAAGGAUGCUAAUACCGCAUAUACGGCUGGUAUCGCAUGAUACUGGCUGGAAAACUGAGGUGGUAAAAGAUGGGCCCGCGUCUGAUUAGCUAGUUGGUGAGAUAACAGCUCACCAAGGCGACGAUCAGUAGCCGACCUGAGAGGGUGACCGGCCACAUUGGGACUGAGACACGGCCCAAACUCCUACGGGAGGCAGCAGUAGGGAAUAUUGCACAAUGGGGGAAACCCUGAUGCAGCGACGCCGCGUGAAGGAUGAAGGUUUUCGGAUCGUAAACUUCUAUCAGCAGUGAAGAUAAUGACAGUAACUGACUAAGAAGCCCCGGCUAACUACGUGCCUGCAGCCGCGGUAAUACGUAGGGGGCAAGCGUUAUCCGGAAUUACUGGGUGUAAAGGGUGCGUAGGCGGUCUGGUAAGUCAGAUGUGAAACCCCUAAGCUUAACUUAGGGCAUGCAUUUGAAACUAUCAGACUAGAAUACAGGAGAGGUAAGCGGAAUUCCUAGUGUAGCGGUGAAAUGCGUAGAUAUUAGGAAGAACACCGGUGGCGAAGGCGGCUUACUGGACUGUAAUUGACGCUCAGGCACGAAAGCGUGGGGAGCAAACAGG
rnacentral:rRNA from 1 species